CGGACGGGUGAGUAACGCGUGAGCAACCUGCCCUUCGGAGGGGGAUAGUGUCUGGAAACGGACAGUAAUACCGCAUAACGUAUUGAUACCGCAUGAUAUUGAUACCAAAACUGAGGUGCCGAAGGAUGGGCUCGCGUUGGAUUAGAUAGUUGGUGGGGUAACGGCCUACCAAGUCGACGAUCCAUAGCCGGACUGAGAGGUUGAACGGCCGCAUUGGGACUGAGACACGGCCCAGACUCCUACGGAAGGCAGCAG
rnacentral:rRNA from 1 species